UACGAAGGGGGCUAGCGUUGCUCGGAAUCACUGGGCGUAAAGCGCACGUAGGCGGAUCUUUAAGUCAGAGGUGAAAUCCUGGAGCUCAACUCCAGAACUGCCUUUGAUACUGGGGAUCUUGAGUCCGGAAGAGGUUAGUGGAACUGCGAGUGUAGAGGUGAAAUUCGUAGAUAUUCGCAAGAACACCAGUGGCGAAGGCGGCUAACUGGUCCGGUACUGACGCUGAGGUGCGAAAGCGUGGGGAGCAAACAGG
rnacentral:rRNA from 1 species